UACGUAGGGGGCUAGCGUUGCUCGGAAUCACUGGCGUAAAGCGCACGUAGGCGGACUCUUAAGUCGGUGGUGAAAUCCUGGAGCUCAACUCCAGAACUGCCUUCGAUACUGAGAGUCUUGAGUCCGGGAGAGGUGAGUGGAACUGCGAGUGUAGAGGUGAAAUUCGUAGAUAUUCGCAAGAACACCAGUGGCGAAGGCGGC
rnacentral:rRNA from 1 species